AGAAUCAACGCUGGCGGCGUGCCUAACACAUGCAAGUCGCACGGGAAAGGGUAGCAAUACCUGAGUAAAGUGGCGCACGGGUGAGUAACACGUGAAUAAUCUACCUCCGAGUGGGGAAUAACUGAGAGAAAUCUUAGCUAAUACCGCAUAACACUUACGAGUCAAAGCAGCAAUGCGCUUGGAGAGGAGUUCGCGGCAGAUUAGUUAGUUGGCGGGGUAAUGGCCCACCAAGACGAUGAUCUGUA
rnacentral:rRNA from 1 species